rnacentral:rRNA from 1 species
UACGUAGGGGCCGAGCGUUUGUCCGGAGUUAUUGGGCGUAAAGCGCGCGCAGGCGGCUUCGCGCGCCCGCCGUGAAAGCCCCCGGCUUAACCGGGGAGAGUCGGUGGGGACGGCGGAGCUUGAGGGCGGGAGAGGUCGGUGGAAUUCCCGGUGUAGUGGUGAAAUGCGUAGAGAUCGGGAGGAACACCUGUGGCGAAGGCGGGUCUCUGGGCAAUUCCUGACGCUGAGGCGGCGAAAGCGGUGGGGAGCAAACGGG